rnacentral:lncRNA from 7 species
CAACACAAACAAGUUUUGAGGGAAACAACAUUUUAUUCCUUGAUCGGCCUCAUUAUAAAUCUUACAUCGUGCGACCGUAUCGGGGCGAUGACGACGAAGCACGUUGUGCGGGUGUGUGGCCAACACAUCUGACUGUGGAGCAAUAGGUGAGGCUAGUGGUCACCAUAGCUAAUAGGGAAGAGGCGGUGGAGCAGCGGCGGUGGCGGCCUGGACUUGAGUGCAGAGUCGACGAGGGAGACAGAGAGAGUCGACUCGAUUGGAUUCAGGAAAUAGGGAGAGUGAGAGAGUGGGAAAGUGUCGUGACCGUAUAACCGUGAGUGAGUCUGUGACCUAAAGAAAACCCUAAAUGUGUCGAACACCGUGCCAAGCUGAUCCAUUCACGGCCCAUGUCGAUGUGUCAGGUCUG